rnacentral:rRNA from 1 species
GAUGAACGCUGGCGGCGUGCCUAAUACAUGCAAGUCGAGCGAACAGACGAUUACGUUGCUCCUCGGACGUUGGCGGCGGACGGGUCAGUAACACGUUGAUAACCUACCUAUGAGACUGGCAUGACUUCGGGAAACCGGAGCUAAUACCGGAUAAUAUAUUGAACCUCAGGGGUCAAUAGUUAAAGACGUUUUUUCUGUCACUGAUAGAUCGAUCCGCGCCGCAUUAGCUAGUUUGUAAGGUAACGGCUUACCAAGGCGACGAUGCGUAACCGACCUGAGAGGGUGAACGGGCACACUGGAACUGGGAGACGGUAUAGAGUCAUAGGGAAGGCCGAAGUACGGAAUCUUGAGAAAUGUGCGGAAGAUUGACGGAGGAACGCAGAGUGAGUGAUGAAGCGCUUCGGAUCGUAUAACUGUGUUAUUAGGGAAGAACAAAUGUGUAAGUAACUAUGCACGUCUUGACGGUACCUAAUGAGAAAGCAACGGCUAACUACGUG